AGCGAACGCUGGCGGCAGGCCUAACACAUGCGAGUCGAACGAACUCUUCGGAGUUAGUGGCGGACGGGUGAGUAACACGUGGGAACGUGCCUUUUGGUUCGGAAUAACUCAGGGAAACUUGUGCUAAUACCGAAUGUGCCCUUCGGGGGAAAGAUUUAUCGCCAUUAGAGCGGCCCGCGUCUGAUUAGCUAGUUGGUGAGGUAACGGCUCACCAAGGCGACGAUCAGUAGCUGGUCUGAGAGGAUGACCAGCCACACUGGGACUGAGACACGGCCCAGACUCCUACGGGAGGCGGCAGUGGGGAAUCUUGCGCAAUGGGCGGAAGCCUGACGCAGCCAUGCCGCGUGAAUGAUGAAGGUCUUAGGAUUGUAAAAUUCUUUCACCGGGGACGAUAAUGGCGGUACCCGGAGAAGAAGCCCCGGCUAACUUCGUG
rnacentral:rRNA from 1 species